ACAGCCCGGCUGCUAAUGCUGGUUCCCUGAUCGUCUAGCUCUAGUAUGCUGGCUGAUCGGCCUCUGCCUACCUCGUAAAAUACUCUUAAAACUGGUACUCUGUGUUUUACCCACAGGACAGAGACUCCUGAGAGCAGCUUGUCCUGCAGGCUUGGCCCCACAGCUUCUUUGUGGAUCAGGUGCUUUUAUGGUUAGCACUGAAGUUUAGCCUCCUGUCAUUUGUCUUAAUACUGCACAGAGCAAGGCAGGAGGCUUGUUUCUUCUUGCAAGUGAAUGUAGCCAGGAGAUGAAUGUUUGCCAUCUGGAGAGAAAACCAGAACUGGCAGUAACAUGAAGUUGGGGCUGGAGGAAAGAAAAAGGAAGCGCUCAGCUGAGAGAGAACAGCAAGGAGGAGAGAGGCAGGUAGCGAGAUGUCUGUUGUGGUUGUUUUUUGUCUCCUUAUGCAAUAAUCUAAGAAACUCGGGGAAGGAAAUCGCCAAAGCUGCUGCUUUAUUCUUGUUUCACAGCUAGUCUUUGGGUUGUAAGGAAAACCAUGGGAGCUCUGAGCUGCUUUGUUCCAGAAGAGUUUUUUUCCAGGCCCACGUAGAUCACUUAAUACCCAUAAAAGUAACGUGCGUUUACUGUGAUCGGAAAUUUAGAUUUCUACCCAUGUAUUCUCCUGCUUUUGUGUUUUGAUGGCUAAAUUUUUAUCAAAUAUCGGUCUUUUGGUUUUAUUUAUCCUUCAGCGCUAGAUAUCAAAGCCUUUACAUAGUGUGCCACCUACUCAAUAAACCCAAGAGCAGAACCAAGAUCAGAAGACACAGGCAUGCACCAGCUUUGGGGUAAUUGUGCACCGCGUUCAUAUAUAUGCAAAUAUCUGAUACUUGUGACAGCCUGGGACCAGGAUUGGAGACCUCACUCGAACCUCUGAAAUCGGGAGCCUGGUUAUGGGACUGCUGGGUUAUUGUGCAAACUGGUGCUUGAUGUGGGGAAAAAUCACAGUCUGCCUGAAGUAAAAUUAUAGCUGCUGAAACCUCCAUGCUGGAAAUAAUGUAGGUUAGAAAGAAAUCCGGAACAGCUGGUACAUUACAGUAAACUUACAGUUUGUUCUGCUGGGGCUGAAGACACAGCGUGUUACUGCGAAUGCUGUUUCGCCAUGGAAAGUCUUCACUUGCAGUGAAGAGGCAGGCUGUGACACUGCGGCCAAACACAGGUACCUGCUACCACAAAGCCAUGUACGCAACCACUAAAUACAAUGCUCUUUGAUCCAGCUUUUAAUAAGAAAUACAAAGAAUUUAAUCACUUAAAAAAAUCUAGCUAAUUCAUUGUCUAAAUUAGGAGUACAGCCAAAUGAAACGAAAACUAACACAAAAAAAGCAAGUUCAAGCCAUUUGUGGGAAGGGAAAUGACCUUCGCUGCCACCUCCUUCUUAGUAUUCCCAAUAGCAUCCAGGACUGAGCCUGCAUCCAGGAAAAAAAAUUGGCGUAUUUCAGUCCUUAACAAGAACUUUUGAAGCUGGAGCAUGAACUGCUGAGGUGUGAGGAGACAGGCAGGCCCCUGACCGUGCUCGCGCUGCUUGGUCCUGCUGGCUACAGGGGUGACAAUGAGCAGCGUGGCUGGAGGGAGAGCUCUCCAGAGAUCUGCAUGUGUGGGUCGUGAUGCUGAUGAUAUGCGUUCUAUCUCGGAGCCCCAGCUUUCUUGUAGCCCCUUCAGGUGCUGGAAGGUCACUAUAACAUCUCCUUGGAGACGCUUCUCCAGUCUGAACAACCCCAACUCUCUCAGCCUGUCCUCAUACGGGAGGUGCUCCAGCCCUCGGAUCAUCUUUGUAGCCUCCUUUGGACCCAUUCCAACAGCUCCAUCUCCUUCUUAUGUUGAGGAUUCCAGGACUGGAAGCAAUACUCCAGAUGAGGUCUCACAAGAGAGGAAUAGAGGGGCAGAAUCCCCUCUCUCCCUGCUGGCCACGCUGCUUUGGAUGCAGCCCAGGACACGGGCUGUGUCACCUUGCCAGAAUUGACCUUGUCUCCUUCUCAGGCUGAUGGUGUUUCUGGGCAGGCCAAAGGGAGAUGCGGGUUAGCCACCUUGGGGCAAAACAUGGAGGGACUUUGCAGCUCAGAGCCAUUUAAAACAAGGAUAAGGUUGUAUCCCAUCCUAGUUUUAAUAAAUCUGACUUAUCUUUGUCUCCCCAAUGGUUCUUACCCUGACAUGUUCAUUGCUGUCCUUUCUGUUGUUUUCAGGUUUAUGAAGCUCGCUGCAGCAAGAUUUGUAACCGCCAGAUUCCACCUUCAAUCAAAAUCCCUGGGAUUCGUUUAUAGUUUCUUCGUUAAGCUAUUGCUGACUAACGAUAUGAAGUCAAACUUUUCUUUUAGGUGUCUGAAAUGCCAUAGGAAUUUUCUGAUGCAGUUCCAUCUGCCUGUCGAAAAUGGAGGUAAAGACCAGCACAGCCAGUGAAGUAAAUCUAGAGAGUGCAGCAGAGAGAGACCUGUUGGUGGUUCUACUCUACGCCACGCUGCUCUGCCACCACUGGUGCUGUCUGCGAGGCAGGCAACCAAAGCAACAUCUGGGGGAAUUCAGAGAUCCAGCCUCCCAGGAGUGAAGCUGCACUGCGUGAGGACCAAUUUCAGAGUGCUGUUCGUGCUGUGACUGGCUUCAAGGUUGUGCAUUUCAUAUUGCCAGCAGCCCUGGAGCUUUUCUCCAAAAGGUAUUUCUUCCCUCCUCCUUGCCUGUGCUCCUCUUCAAGCUUUUCCUGCUUGGUGAAAAGCAUCACUAUUGGAUCCCUCUUUAAUGGGGAAUAUCACUUUGAUCUGUAGAUCUUGAAUCCACACAAAGUUUGAUCCAAAGCGUGGAAAGGGCUCUGAGAGUACUGAUCACAGCUGGCAGGGCCUGAAUGUCCUGCGCAUUUUCCCUCCACGGUGCUGCGCUGCCUCUCCUUUCCCGCAGUGCGCAUCCAGCAGCGGCAGCCAGGAAGACAAGAGAUGUGAGGGCAGGUUUUGUAUGAAAUAUCAUUCCAUACGGGAGGUCUCUACACGGCAGGAGCAGCAGCUGCCUGCUCCAGGUCUUCAGCGAAGCUCCCAUCCCUGGAGGGGUUCCAGGCCAGGUUGGAUGGGCCUUGGGCAGCCUGAGCCAGUGGGAGGUGUCCCUGCCCAUGGCAGGGGUUGGAACUGGAUGGGCUUUAAGGUCCCUUCCAACCCAAACUAUUCUAUGAUUCAGUGCACACCUGCCCAUAAGAUGCUGUUUGAGGAGCAUCCUAAGGACAGCACCAGGGAAGGUGGGGAACAACGCAGACCUCUGUGCUGUCUGGGAGGGGACAUGGCUCCGGGACUGUUCUCGCAAUUGUUCUUCCUCUGAAUUCACCUCUUCUUCCUGCUCUUCCCACCCUAGGAGAAAGCAGAAAGGGAUCAGAACAAACAGAAGGAAAUCUGUCUCAGAGCUCCUGGCACUGCCUGUGCUCUCAAGGAUGGCAGGGGAGAGCAGCGUACGCAUCACCACUGUGUUUGAGUCCCCACACUGGGAAAGCUAGAGGAAAGGAAAGAUGUUCUGCUGGGUUUGGGUUCCUUCUGAGGAGAACUGGAGGAAACAGAGUGAAUGGUCAGGCUCAGGGCUGGAGUGGUCCAGCAGCAGCAUGAGGGCAAGAGCAAAGCACUCCAUGUGCUGUGGCAGCCUUGAUCCCUUUUCUGAGUGCACUGGAGCUCUGCUCCAUCGGUUCAGGGAGGAGGCAGGCACAGUCCUAUCAGAAGGGAAGCACCUCGAGUUGAUCCUGGGGUCCUUUCUUCACAAAAAGGGUUCUCAGACCCUGGCAGAGGCUGCGCAGGGAGGUGAUGGAGUUCCCAUCCGUGGAGGGGUUUAAAAGACAAGUAGAUGAAAUGCUCGGGGAUCUGGUUUAGUGGUUGACAGGUAUGGUUGGACUCAAUCUCAAAGGUCUUUUCCGACCUAGCGAUUCUAUGACUUUUGUUCAGAUUGAUUAGUAGUGCAAACCAGUGUUCCUGAUGGUUAUAUUAAUAGAAAAUGCCAAUUAAUGUCAGUGUUUUAGCCCAUGUUUCAAAUCACGUAGAGAUCAGAUGUUCAGAAAUAACCCUGGCUUGCAAUGAGAAGCAUAUGACUGUCUUAUUUAUGUGGUGCCAAGUUUUCCACCCUUUUUCCUGAGAGAGCCGCUUUCCUGACUGAAUGUUGAUUGUGAGAACAGCAGAGAGCCUGGCUGACGGAGGGCGAAGGUACGCAGCAAAUACUGCUCCUGUCUCAGUCUGGCAACACUGCUCUCAUGAUUCGUGUCUGUCAUACACAGAUCCUUUGCUUCCUUUUUCAAAUGUGCCUUUGUAAUCUUAAACAAGCACAGCUGCGACUGAAAUUUGAGGCAAAAUUGCACUACAAAUGUUAGCCCUUUCCUUCUUUUCUACUACCACCGUUUGAUUCAUCAUUUGCUUUCCAGUUCAGGUCUGCUGUUUUCUGGUUGGAAUAUUUUUUUAUAGCUCAUUUUAUAAGAAAACCCACACAUAAAGAAAGGAAGAAAGCAACAAAUUCAAAACAAACUCCAGGUGUGGCGGUGGAUUCUUCUGGGCAGAGGGCAGCCUGCCUUCUUCAAGUGUCCAGACCUGUUGCAGAAUAUGUGAGGUAAAAAUAGAGUGCUAAAACAAAGAGGGAGUAAAGAUUACCGUGAGGGACUUGGUGGACUAAAUAUAGACAGUUCUGCCCCUCUCCCAGUGACUUACAGUAAUGGAGAAUAUUCUGCAGCCAGCACAAUUUGGCCAAUACCCAAAGUAUAACACAGAGAUCUGACAGUAGGGAUUGCAGCUAGAAAAUAUGGCAUUCCCUUUGGAACAGCUGUUGUAUUAUACUAAGCCAGUUACUUCCCUUUAAUCCUAAUUAAUACUUUCCCUUUCCCUUCUGAGCUAGGUUCUCUGGUCAGCAGUAAUUCUGGGGGUCUGCUGCUGCUCUCCCUGCAAGAGCCCUCUGUCUUCAUAGAAUUUUCCCUAGGUUGGAAAAGACCUUUGAGA